rnacentral:rRNA from 1 species
AUUGAACGCUGGCGGCAGGCCUAACACAUGCAAGUCGAGCGGAGCGGCGGACGGGCGGGUAAUGCAUAGGAAUCGGCCUGGUCGUGGGGGAUAACGUCCGGAAAGGGGCGCUAAUACAGCAUACUAGCAGAUGAGCCUAGGUGGGAUUAGCUAGUUGGUGGGGUAAAGGCUUACCAAGGCGACGCGCCGUAACUGGUCGGAGAGGAUGAUCAGUCACACGGGAACUGAGACACGGGCCAGACUCCUACGGAAGGCAGCAGUGGGGAAUAUUGGACAAUGGGCGAAAGCCUGAUCCAGCCAUGCCGCGUGUGUGAAGAAGGUCUUCGGAUUGUAAAGCACUUUAAGUUGGGAGGCGUUACCAACAGAAUAAGCACCGGCUAACUCCGUGCCAGCAGCCGCGGUAAUAC